rnacentral:lncRNA from 1 species
AAAUAAAUUUAUUUUUUCAUAAUUUCGGAUCUCAAAAUUAUUUCAAAUCCAUUAACAAUUAGUGUGUGUUUGUUUGGACAAUGUGAAACACCUCACAUUAGUGAAAUCAAUCCAGUUUUUGCUAUAAUGCGCGUGAUUUAAGCAAGAAAAUAAACUAAAAUGAUCAGAUCUGGUUAUAUAAAGAGCAGAUCAAAUGAGAUCUGGUUUAGGUUAGCAAGAUAAAGUUAAUUAAGUAAUUACCGUGUCUUCUUCGGCAGUGGUUGAAGGACCAGGAGCGGUAGAAUCAUCAGAAGGACCAGGUGCACCAGCAGGAGGAGCAGGUGGACUAGACAAUGAAGGUGAAGGAGCAGGAGCAUUGCCCUUCUUCUUUGUUUUCUUCUUACUUGGAGCAGGUGCAGGUACAUCAGCAACAGUAGGUGGAGAAGCAACAGGAGUAGCAACUGGUGGUGGAGUUGCCACUGGAACAGGUGCUGGUGGUGGAGAUGAAACUGGAACUGGUGCUGCUGGUGGUGUAGCAGCAACAGGUGGUGGUGUAGCAGCAACAGGUGGUGGUGUAGAAGCAACAGGUGGUGGUGUAGAAGCAACAGGUGGUGGUGUAGAAGCAACAGGUGGUGUUGCAACUGGUGCUAUUGGUGUUGUUGUUGGUGGUGCAGAAACUG